GGCGGCGUAGCUCAGUUGGCUAGAGCAUACGGUUCAUACCCGUAGUGUCCGGGGUUCAAAUCCCUGCGCCGCUACCA
rnacentral:tRNA from 1 species